GACGUAGGGGGCCAGCGUUGCUCGGAAUUACUGGGUGUAAAGGGUUCGUAGGCGGUGUGGCAAGUCGGGAGUGAAAUCUCUGGGCUCAACCCAGAGUCUGCUUCCGAAACUGCUGUGCUUGAGUGUGGGAGAGGCGCGUGGAAUUGCAGGUGUAGCGGUGAAAUGCGUAGAUAUCUGCAGGAACACCCGUGGCGAAAGCGGCGCGCUGGACCACUACUGACGCUGAGGAACGAAAGCGUGGGGAGCAAACAGG
rnacentral:rRNA from 1 species